rnacentral:lncRNA from 1 species
GGGGGGGGACCGGGCACGGGGUGGGGGCGGCGAGGGGGGCUCUCUCUGCCUAUCCAUUAAAACGAUUGUUCCAUGUGGCCGCUCCGUCUGGUUGUGGUUGCUCAUUGGCGCGGGGAGAUGAGGUUCUCCACCCCCCAACACACAACCCCCAACACCGGUGGGGACGGGGAGGGAUGAGGGACACAGGGUGGAAUCACGGUGAUGGGACAGGAGAAGGUCGGAGAGAUGUCACCUGGACAUCACCGGCGAGCCCAGAGGGGAUGCCAUCACAGGUAAGGCUUUGGUGAGUAGAUGUUUCUCCUGCUCUCUGGAACCCCCAGAACUUUCCAUCACACCCGUGUCCUUUUGGUCGGCACAACGUUGCGGGGGAUGCUCCGAAGGGAGUCCCAGGGGAAGCAGGGACAUGAGGCGGGUGUAGGAAACGGGGCACAACCCUAUUGAUGGUUCUUGGACGGCAUCUUGUUGUCUUUUGGCCACGUCCAGAAGGUUUCUCGGUGCGUGAGGUCCUCAGAUUCCACUGGGGCCUCCCAGGUGCCGUCUUCUUCAAGCCAGUUGGAAUGUUUCUGUAGGAUCCUACAGAAUCCCAGUGGUGGUGGGACUGUUUUGUGUCAGUUUUAUUUCUCAACCCUACUAG